ACGCGCGCUGCGUCCAGGCCUGUCUGGAGCAAGUUAGCUGACUUCUGUCUGACCUAAACUGUCAGCCCUCUAUUAGCGCUGCUCUCAGAGCUCAUCAGAGAAGUUUCAUAUUGCUGUGGACAGUGGUUAAUACAGAAACGCACAACUGACCAAAGUAUAGAGAUGGAACGUCUAUGGAGUGCUCAACCAAACUGGGAUACAUCACACCUCCACUCUGGAAGGCUCAGAGAGCAUCACGGAAGGGAGAACAGAAAGAUGGCAAGAGCCAGAGAGUCAAAUACCAAGUCUAUAUUUUUGUGAGUCUUUGAACACUACACCUCUUGAUUUCUUCCAAUAACAAUGGUUCCAACUUCUGAGUAUUGCUCAGAAUAUGAGAAUAAAAUAGGUUGAUUAUAA